rnacentral:rRNA from 1 species
UUGGAGGGCAAGUCUGGUGCCAGCAGCCGCGGUAAUUCCAGCUCCAAUAGCGUAUAUUAAAGUUGUUGCAGUUAAAAAGCUCGUAGUUGAAUUUCGGGAUCAAUAUUUCGGUCAUGCCGUUGGUAUGCACUGUUAUCAUUGAUUUCUCACCUUCUAAAGAACCGUGAUGCCAUUAAUUUGGUGUUACGGGGAAUUAGGACUGUUACCUUGAAAAAAUUAGAGUGUUUAAAGCAGGCUCACGCUUGAAUACAUUAGCAUGGAAUAAUGAAAUAGGACAUCCGAUUCUAUUUUGUUGGUUUCCAGGAUCGAUGUAAUGAUUAAUAGGGAUAGUUGGGGGCAUUAGUAUUCAAUUGUCAGAGGUGAAAUUCUUGGAUUUAUUGAAGACUAACUACUGCGAAAGCAUUUGCCAAGGAUGUUUUCAUUAAUCAAGAACGAAAGUUAGGGGAUCGAAGACGAUCAGAUACCGUCGUAGUCUUAACCAUAAACUAUGCCGACUAGGGAUCGGAUGAUGUUAAUUUUUUAAUGACUCAUUCGGCGCCUUACGGGAAAC